GAUGAACGCUGGCGGCGUGCUUAACACAUGCAAGUCGAACGAAGCACUUUACCUGAUCCCUUCGGGGUGAUUGUUCUGUGACUGAGUGGCGGACGGGUGAGUAACGCGUGGGUAACCUGUCUCAUACAGGGGGAUAACAGUUGGAAACGACUGCUAAUACCGCAUAAGCGCACAGCAUCGCAUGAUGCAGUGUGAAAAACUCCGGUGGUAUGAGAUGGACCCGCGUUGGAUUAGCUAGUUGGAGGGUAACGGCCCGACCGAAGGCGACGAUCCGAUAGCCGACCUGACGAGGGUGACCGGCCACAUUGGGACUGAGACACGGCCCAAAUCCUACGGAGGCAGCAGUGGGAAUA
rnacentral:rRNA from 1 species